rnacentral:rRNA from 1 species
CGCGUAGGCGGUUUUGUAAGUCGGAUGUGAAAUCCCCGGGCUUAACCUGGGAACUGCAUUCGAUACUGCGUAACUAGAGUAUGGUAGAGGGAAGUGGAAUUCCGGGUGUAGCGGUGAAAUGCGUAGAUAUCCGGAGGAACACCAGUGGCGAAGGCGACUUCCUGGGCCAAUACUGACGCUGAGGUGCGAAAGCGUGGGGAGCAAACA